rnacentral:lncRNA from 1 species
UGAAAUGCAAUAUGAAAUGUGAAAUGACCUAAAAAUGAAUGCAUGAAUGAGGAAGACAAAUUUUGGGGUGUUACAAUAUCCUCUGCACACUUCAAUCCUAUCUCAUUUGCUUCUUUUUCGAAAUGGGCUCGUUACUAUUACUACUUCUCCAUUUCUACGGGAAGCAUCACGACCACCCUAUAAACCAUGGAAAACUGGGUUUCCU